GUCGAGCGGUAGCACAGAGAGCUUGCUCUCGGGUGACGAGCGGCGGACGGGUGAGUAAUGUCUGGGAAACUGCCUGAUGGAGGGGGAUAACUACUGGAAACGGUAGCUAAUACCGCAUAACGUCGCAAGACCAAAGUGGGGGACCUUCGGGCCUCAUGCCAUCAGAUGUGCCCAGAUGGGAUUAGCUGGUAGGUGGGGUAACGGCUCACCUAGGCGACGAUCCCUAGCUGGUCUGAGAGGAUGACCAGCCACACUGGAACUGAGACACGGUCCAGACUCCUACGGGAGGCAGCAGUGGGGAAUAUUGCACAAUGGGCGCAAGCCUGAUGCAGCCAUGCCGCGUGUGUGAAGAAGGCCUUCGGGUUGUAAAGCACUUUCAGCGGGGAGGAAGGCGGUGAGGUUAAUAACCUUGUCGAUUGACGUUACCCGCAGAAGAAGCACCGGCUAACUCCGUGCCAGCAGCCGCGGUAAUACGGAGGGUGCAAGCGUUAAUCGGAAUUACUGGGCGUAAAGCGCACGCAGGCGGUCUGUCAAGUCGGAUGUGAAAUCCCCGGGCUCAACCUGGGAACUGCAUUCGAAACUGGCAGGCUAGAGUCUUGUAGAGGGGGGUAGAAUUCCAGGUGUAGCGGUGAAAUGCGUAGAGAUCUGGAGGAAUACCGGUGGCGAAGGCGGCCCCCUGGACAAAGACUGACGCUCAGGUGCGAAAGCGUGGGGAGCAAACAGGAUUAGAUACCCUGGUAGUCCACGCUGUAAACGAUGUCGAUUUGGAGGUUGUGCCCUUGAGGCGUGGCUUCCGGAGCUAACGCGUUAAAUCGACCGCCUGGGGAGUACGGCCGCAAGGUUAAAACUCAAAUGAAUUGACGGGGGCCCGCACAAGCGGUGGAGCAUGUGGUUUAAUUCGAUGCAACGCGAAGAACCUUACCUGGUCUUGACAUCCACAGAACUUAGCAGAGAUGCUUUGGUGCCUUCGGGAACUGUGAGACAGGUGCUGCAUGGCUGUCGUCAGCUCGUGUUGUGAAAUGUUGGGUUAAGUCCCGCAACGAGCGCAACCCUUAUCCUUUGUUGCCAGCGGUUAGGCCGGGAACUCAAAGGAGACUGCCAGUGAUAAACUGGAGGAAGGUGGGGAUGACGUCAAGUCAUCAUGGCCCUUACGACCAGGGCUACACACGUGCUACAAUGGCAUAUACAAAGAGAAGCGACCUCGCGAGAGCAAGCGGACCUCAUAAAGUAUGUCGUAGUCCGGAUUGGAGUCUGCAACUCGACUCCAUGAAGUCGGAAUCGCUAGUAAUCGUAGAUCAGAAUGCUACGGUGAAUACGUUCCCGGGCCUUGUACACACCGCCCGUCACACCAUGGGAGUGGGUUGCAAAAGAAGUAGGUAGC
rnacentral:rRNA from 1 species